UGGGGAAUUUUGGACAAUGGGCGCAAGCCUGAUCCAGCCAUGCCGCGUGCGGGAAGAAGGCCUUCGGGUUGUAAACCGCUUUUGUCAGGGAAGAAACGCUCUGGGCUAAUACCCCGGGGUAAUGACGGUACCUGAAGAAUAAGCACCGGCUAACUACGUGCCAGCAGCCGCGGUAAUACGUAGGGUGCAAGCGUUAAUCGGAAUUACUGGGCGUAAAGCGUGCGCAGGCGGUUAUGCAAGACAGAUGUGAAAUCCCCGGGCUCAACCUGGGAACUGCAUUUGUGACUGUAUAGCUAGAGUACGGUAGAGGGGGAUGGAAUUCCGCGUGUAGCAGUGAAAUGCGUAGAUAUGCGGAGGAACACCGAUGGCGAAGGCAAUCCCCUGGACCUGUACUGACGCUCAUGCACGAAAGCGUGGGGAGCAAACAGGAUUAGAUACCCCGGUAGUCCCUGAGCGGGCUGGCAAGGCGCAU
rnacentral:rRNA from 1 species